rnacentral:rRNA from 1 species
AAAUUGAAGAGUUUGAUCAUGGCUCAGAUUGAACGCUGGCGGCAGGCCUAACACAUGCAAGUCGAACGGUAACAGAAAGCAGCUUGCUGCUUUGCUGACGAGUGGCGGACGGGUGAGUAAUGUCUGGGAAACUGCCUGAUGGAGGGG